AUGGGGCAGCAAACUUGGCUUUUCUUACACCUUCGCAUGCAUGUGUGGAGAAAGAGGGUGUACCGAGAGCAUAAAACAAUGUGGACUGGUUAGCCAAAGUACUUGGUCCAUUUGAGCUUGAGACCAGGUGUAUGACCUACUUUUCACUUCCUAAACUUCUUUAGAAUCAAACAUUUGCCUGCCUGAAUUCCAAGUGCUCUC
rnacentral:lncRNA from 1 species